rnacentral:rRNA from 1 species
UACGUAGGGGGCUAGCGUUGUCCGGAUUUAUUGGGCGUAAAGAGCGUGUAGGCGGCCAGGUAGGUCUGCUGUGAAAACUCGAGGCUCAACCUCGAGACGUCGGCGGAAACCAUCUGGCUAGAGUCCGGGAGAGGAGAGUGGAAUUCCUGGUGUAGCGGUGAAAUGCGCAGAUAUCAGGAAGAACACCCGUGGCGAAGGCGGCUCUCUGGGACGGUACUGACGCUGAGACGCGAAAGCGUGGGGAGCAAACAGG